UAAAGGGCAAACCGAGUUGUGGUUGGUUAUAAGUUUACUUACAACUUAGUGUAAAAGAAGGAGGCAAUGACUAGGUGAGAGGUUGGAUUUGAACAGUAUAUACCACACGAAAAAUAGCAAUUAAUAGACAUGAAUUAAGAAAUUUGAGAAAAUUCUUAUUCCAAAGGUUUUUGGAAUUGUGUUUGAACAACAAAAAGUACCCUUAAAAGUUUCACCGUCUAUAAUUUCAUCUUGAUAAUUAAUUGCAGUAAACGUUUGUAAACGAAUGUAUUAUAUAUACAACUUUUUCACGUUGUGGUCAAAUUCUUUAGUUAUUUCAUCUUCUAAGUAAUUAGUGAAUAUAUUGAAUUGACGAAAAAACGAUGAACAACAUAAUAAGAGGCAUAAAGUGCUUCUCUACUUA